rnacentral:rRNA from 1 species
AGGCUUUGAUCCUGGCUCAGAUUGAACGCUGGCGGCAUGCCUUACACAUGCAAGUCGAACGGCAGCACGGGAGCUUGCUCCUGGUGGCGAGUGGCGAACGGGUGAGUAAUACAUCGGAACGUACCCAGUAGUGGGGGAUAGCUCGGCGAAAGCCGGAUUAAUACCGCAUACGACCUACGGGUGAAAGCGGGGGACCGUAAGGCCUCGCGCUAUUGGAGCGGCCGAUGUCUGAUUAGCUAGUUGGUGGGGUAAAAGCCUACCAAGGCGACGAUCAGUAGCUGGUCUGAGAGGACGAUCAGCCACACUGGAACUGAGACACGGUCCAGACUCUACGGGAGGCAGCAGUGGGGAAUUUUGGACAAUGGGCGAAAGCUGAUCCAGCAAUGCCGCGUGUGCGAAGAAGGCCUUCGGGUUGUAAAGCACUUUUGUCAGGGAAGAAAUCUUUCGGGCUAAUACCCCUGGAAGGAUGACGGUA